GCCAAUACAGCUUAGAGAAUCAACACUUUUAAAUAGCUGCUUUUCGCGGCAUCCUUCGUAAAACUUGGGUUGAAAUCCAAAACCCUCGUACUUCAGUUAAGCCUCCAAAACCCUCAAAACCCUGCAAAUUCUAAUCUACACUAUUGAUGGCGAAACCGAGCUCUUGGAUUCAGCAUGUCGAAGCCUUUGUUGAUGUCUCUCGUCCUCCGAAUCAACAGAUUGUAAGUGUAGAUGCUGUCGCUUCACUUUUGAAGAAUGGUCUCGUAACUAUAGAAACACUAGUCAGGGAAAUGGAAAUGUAUUUGACAACUACAGACAAUGUCAUUCGUGCUAGAGGUAUCCUCCUUCUAGGAGAAGUGCUUACACGUCUUACAGCAAAUCCACUAAACAAUGCUACUGUACAUAGCUUGAUAAGGUUCUUCACGGAAAGGCUGGCAGAUUGGCAAGCUUUACAUGGUGCCCUUCUUGGUUGCUUGGCACUCUUGAAAAGGAAAAGUAAUGCUGGAAUGGUUACUGGCAGUGAUGCAAAAGCAGUUGCUGAAUCUUACUUGCAGAAUCUACAAGUGCAGUCAUUAGGACAGCAUGACCGUCAGAUGUGCUUUGAGCUUCUUGAGUGUCUUUUAAGUGGCUAUCCUAAUGAUGUUGCAACCUUGGGUGAUGACCUUGUUUAUGGUAUAUGUGAAGCAAUUGAUGGAGAAAGGGAUCCUAAAUGUUUAAUGCUCACUUUUCAUCUUGUGGAAAUUCUUGCACAAUUAUUUCCAGAUCCUUCUGGUCCGCUAGCAAGUUAUGCCUCCGAUAUUUUCGAGAUUUUGAGUUCUUACUUUCCCAUCCACUUCACACAUCCGAAAAGUGAUGAUCUCUAUGUUAAAAGGGAUGACCUUUCAAGGGCGUUAAUGCUUGCAUUCUCUUCAACUCCUUUUUAUGAGCCUUUUGCUAUCCCGUUACUUCUUGAAAAGUUAUCUUCUUCUCUGCCAUCUGCAAAGGUUGAUUCUUUGAAGUAUCUCAGUUCUUCUGCAUCAAAAUAUGGUGUGGAUAGAAUGGAAAAACAUAGCAGAGCUAUUUGGAUGUCUUUAAAGGACACAAUUUUUUCUUCGUCAAGUGAAGAUGUAUUAUCAUUGGCAUCAGAGUCGCCUGAUGCUAUGGGGUUCCAGGAGAAUGAAGUUGUAAAAGAGGGUCUAGUUUGUUUAUAUCAUGUUAUUUUGCAAAAUGAAAGGUUAUUUACAAAUUUGAUUGUUGAAGAUGAAGAUGUUGAGAUGAUUUUCAGGUCUGUCACAAGUUGUAGAAGUUAUAAUGGUAUAACUGUAGAAAACAGGAAGAAGCUGCAAGCACUUGGACGCAUUAUAUCUGUUUCAGCAAAAGUCUCCAGUUCUUCCUGUAGUAGGAUUUUCCAAAGUUUCUUUAUCCGUUUGAUGGACAUCCUUGGAGUUUCCUCAGAUGGAAGUGGUUUUCUUUCUGAAAAACUGAAUUCUGGGGCUCUUUACCUUUGCAUUGAACUUCUUGCUGCAUGCAAGGAUUUGGUUUUAGACUCUGGAGAACCUGCUCCAGAAUCUUUUUCAUUGGAAGACACUUGGUGCAACUUGCUUCAAAAAUUUUCUGCUCCACUGACUGAUGCUUUCAGUUCUAUUUUGGUAUCAAGUAUGGAACAAGGUUUCUCUGAAGAUAUUUAUACCGGAGUGAAGGGUUUGCAGUCUCUGGCAACAUUUCCUGGAUUCUUGCCAAUAUUAAAACCAGUAUAUGAGAAUAUCUUGGCAAUCUUUAUGUCAAUUAUAACUUCUGGUUGUGAAAUUACAUUGUUAUGGAAGCUGAGUUUGAAGGCAUUAGUGCAGAUUGGUAUCUUUAUUGAGAAAUAUCAUGAUUCCGAGAAGGCAUUGAGCUACAUGAACAUUGUCGUUGAAAAGUUUAUUAAGUUGAUUCACAAUGAUGAUUCUGUUAUGUCUCUUCAACUGAAGCUGGAGGCAGCUACUGACAUUGGUAGUACGGGGAAGGAUGUUAUGCUCAGAAUAGCUCAGGGGAUGGAAGAAGCUAUAUCUACCAGUUUCUAUGAGGCUUGUGUCAAAGGAAAUUUGAAGUCAGUUGAGAUUUUAGUACCUGUGCUGGAGUGUUACUCCACUAAGGUGCUUCCUUGGUUCCAUAAAACUGGGGAGUUUGAGAAAGUUGUGUUGAACUUUGCAAUCAAUAUUUGGAUUCAGAUAGAAAGUAUUAUGACUUUCAACAUUUGCUUUCGAGAAAAAGAGUUGCUUGAUGCAACAGUGAUGGCAAUGAAUCUGGCUGUUGGAAUUUGUUCGGAGGAAAAUCAGUCCAUGAUAGUUCAAAAGGCAUAUGAUGUACUUUCAUUAGCGACUUUUCUUCCACUGAAUGAGUCAGUCCCUCUCUCAGCUCCUGUAAAACUAGAAGGGUUACAAUGUUCCCAAGAUUUCUGUAGUUUUUCAAGUACAGAUGAGUGGCUUAUUUCAUUAUUUGCAUCAGUAAUUAUGGCAGUUCGCCCUCAAACAGAAAUUCCAAAUGUAAGAUUUAUAUUGAAGCUGUUCAUGUUUGCUCUUUUGAGAGGACAAGUUCCAGCAGCUCAGGCAUUGGGUUCUAUGAUUAACAAAUUGCCUGUAAAAUUAAACUCAACAGAAGGCUCGAGUACCUGCACUUUGGAAGAGGCAAUGGAUAUAAUCUUCGAGGCAAAUUUAUGGAGUUUGUCUGGUAAUGUCCCUUUAAGAAAAUGCAGUACUAUGGAUAGAAAUAAGGUGGCCAUUGCUACUUUAUUUCUCAACAGUCAUGAGAAUGUGAAUGUUCAAACCCAAGCUAUUGUUGGAUUGGCAUGGAUAGGGAAAGGUUUACUUAUGCGAGGCCAUGAAAAAGUGAAAGAGAUCACAAUGCUUUUCUUAGGAUGCUUGCUGUCAAGUGGUGAAAUUGGGAUCUUGCCUUUGCAGCAAGAUUCUUUGGGAGAUUUUAAUGGCCAGGAUAUAGAUCCUGUCGUGAUGAGAUCAGCAGCUGAUGCAUUCCAUGUCCUUCUAGGUGAUUCUGAAGUUUGUCUAAAUAAAAGGUGUCAUGCAAGCAUACGACCUCUUUAUAGGCAACAUUUUUUUUCUAUCAUGAUGCCCAUUCUUCUCUUUUCAAUAGCUGAAUCUGAUUCUUCAACUUCCAGACGUAUGCUCUAUCGAGCUUUUGCGCAUUUCAUUUCUGGUACUCCAGUCGUUGCUGUUGUAGCUGAAGCGAAGAAGCUUAUUGCUGUCAUAUUGGAUGCCUUGUCCAUGUUGAGUAUGGAUGUUCUGGAUAAAGAUCUGGUCUAUAGCCUCUUACUGACCCUAUCUGCAAUCUUAACAGAUGAAAAUGAACGAGAUACUGUUUCAGAGAAUGCUCAUAUAAUCGUAGAUUGCCUCAUUGGACUGGCCUCCUACUCCCACAUGAUGCUUGUUCGAGAGACAGCAAUUCAAUGUCUUGUUGCUUUAUCAGGGCUCCCCUAUGUGAGGAUUUAUCCUAUGAGAACAAAGGUAUAUAGGGUUGCUUUUCUCUUUUACAACAGGCGGCACUUAUUCUCAGGUGUUACGAGCGAUUUUAAAGGCUCUUGAUGAUCCGAAGAGGAUAGUUCGCGAAGAAGCCGUUCGAUGUCGUCAAGCUUGGGCGUCAAUUGCUUCUAGGAGUAUUCAUUUCUAAGAGACUUGGCAAGAGUUAAAACUUGAUGAGAAUGCUCAUCUUUCCAACACACCUAGUUUUCUUCCAAAAGGUUUUUCCAUGUAAAUCUCAUUCUCUGUAUUUACUUUUGUAAUACAGUUUGAAAUUUCAAUAGAAUGAAACUGUCCAUGUGGAUUUGUAGUGAUUACACCUUAUCUUCGUGUUGUGUGAUAUAGGACAAAGUAUGGUUCCAUGAAUAGAAAAACCAUCUAGCAAACAUGUUUUUUCUCUUGAGA